rnacentral:rRNA from 1 species
CGCGCAGGCGGUCUUUCAAGUCAGUGGUGAAAGCCCGGAGCUCAACUCCGGAAUUGCCAUUGAAACUGUAAGACUUGAGGAUGAGAGAGGUGAGUGGAAUUCCCAGUGUAGAGGUGAAAUUCGUAGAUAUUGGGAAGAACACCGGUGGCGAAGGCGGCUCACUGGUUCAUUUCUGACGCUCAGGCGCGACAGCGUGGGGAUCAAACAGGAUUAGAUACCCUGGUAGUCCACGCCGUAAACGAUGAAUGCUAGCCGUUGGGCAGCUUGCUGUUCAGUGGCGCAGCUAACGCAUUAAGCAUUCCGCCUGGGGAGUACGGCCGCAAGGUUGAA